UCGGCGAAUUCCGAAUAUGCGGCCGGGACACACCUAUCAUGCACGUUUCCGAUCCGGCUCCGGUCCG